UCAAGAGUGGGACACAACCAACUGAGCCAUUCAAGUGCCCCUACAAAUGCUAAUUUUUAUAAUUAUCAAUACUGAAUUUAUGCUGAAAAAUAUCCAGGUUGGAAAUGUUUGAGAGCUGAAGGAAACCUGUAGCUCUGAUUAGAAUGAACUUAGAUUAUACAGAAGGCCUGCCCUACAAUUAUACAUGUGCCGACAUUAAAACUCAGAGAAGCAGCAGCCCAUGGUACAAGGACUAAGUGGUAGCUUAAUAUAAUAUAAUAUAAUGGAAACCAUAUGGUGCAUGGGCAGGCAGCCCCUUGCCGUGGAUACUACGUUGUUCUCACCACAUUAAUAUACACACUGAAGAUCAACCAAGGGAGAUGACGACACCAAGAAUCAGAGCAGUGAUGUGACCUUCCAAGUUAACAACAGAGAGAAGUGAUAGAAAGGCAAUGAGAAUUCAAAUUAUAACUACCAAGGUAGUAUUUUUUUUCUCUACCUGAUGAGACCACAGUUUCUCCAAUUCCAUAAACCUACCUCAUUCAAGAAGGGCAGACAAUGGGCUCAUAAAAUCAAUAAACUACAGUCUUUGGUGGGAGUUGACAAACUUUUUCUGUGUGGGGCCAGGUAGUAAUAUUUUAGGCUUUGUGGACCAUGUGGUCUCUGUAACAGUUACUCAGUUCCGCCUUGUAGUAUGAAAGAAGCCAUAGACAAUAUGUAUGUAAACAAAUAGCUGAGUUCCAAUAAAACUUUAUUUUCCAAAAAACAAAAAAAGGAGGCAA